AUGACUCUUUUCCAUCGGGAAAAGAGCAUGCAGCUAUACUCACUAUAUCAUAACAGCUCUUUCAACAUCUUGUGCGCCAUCCUUUGUGAAGGGUACCAUAUGCCUGUCUCCAGUCCAUCAUUUGAGUGCUCCCAAAUGUCCAGAAAAGUCUACAUGCAGAAAUUCUGUGAUGGUUCUGCCCUUGAAAUGCUAUUCUACAGCAAUAACUACUUCUGGACACUGGAGCUUUCUCACUUAGAGAUUCCAUAAACUGGGAAAGUUCAUGUACGCUCAGGAGAGCCUGAAAAUGAGAGUACUAAUGGCUGAGUGGAAUAUUCUUUGCCUCCUGACAUUGUUGAGGUAUGUAGUCUGAGCAGCUGGUUCCUCAGUUCUGCUAAUCCUGAUCUGACGUUUAUUUGAGGAGGGGGGAAAGGUUAUCUUUUGAGUUCCUGUUAUUUAUGUAAACUGGAGAGGGCCUUGGCCCAAGUCUCCUCUCACUUCCAUCCAUUUUAAACCCACCUCACAUGUCUGCCUCCUGACUUAGAUCAGUAUAAAUGCAAGCACGAGAAGCUAGACUCUCUGGGCGCAGACAGAAGUGACAAAGACUCUCUGGGUGCAGACAGAAGUGGCAAUUUUUACCUGAUCUGACCACAAAAAAACUCCCCAGAUUAUAGCUGCAUGGCUGCAAACAGCUUAAAAAAUGGCCAGCAGGGUGAAGAUCGGACCUCUCAUUUCAUGAGGUAUCAGAUAAAGAUGUUACAAAAUGUAGUGUCCUUUCUAACUUGUGUCUGCUGAACUCCCAGCCUGUCACUAUUUUCAGAAUGGGAAGGGGGAAAGGAAGAAGAGGGAGCUCUGUCUGGGGGGUUUUCAGCCCUCCCUGGAGGGUGGUCUGAGUGUACUGCAGCCUUCCCAAAGUGCAGAAGGCUCCAAUUCAUCCACCCCACCCUUCAGCACCAGCUGUGGAGCCCCAAGAAUGACCUCCCUCUACUGCCUUUCCCCCCUCCCAUUCUGAAAGCAGCAAGCACUGGCAGAAAGCCCUGGACAUUGCUAUGGCAACCUGGCUUCUAGGAACCAACAGUGAACUUGUGUUUCAUAGAUUCAUAGAUGUAGGGUCAGAAGAGACCUUGCAGAUCUUCUAGUCCAACCCCCUGCCUUAGGCAGGAGAGAAAAUUGGGCUCGCAUGACCCCAGCUAGGUACUUGUCAAGCCUCCUCUUAAAGACCCCCAGGGUAGGAGCCAGCACUGCUUCCCUUGAAAGUUGGUUCCAGAUC
rnacentral:lncRNA from 1 species